UACGGGGGGGGCAAGCGUUGUUCGGAAUUACUGGGCGUAAAGGGCUCGUAGGCGGCCAACUAAGUCGGACGUGAAAUCCCCAGGCUCAACUGGGGAGGGUCACUCGAUACUGAUCGACUUGAAGGCAGGAGAGGGAAGCGGAAUUCCCGGUGUAGUGGUGAAAUGCGUAGAUAUCGGGAGGAACACCAGUGGCGAAGGCGGCUUCCUGGCCUGUUCUUGACGCUGAGGCGCGAAAGCUAGGGGAGCAAACGGG
rnacentral:rRNA from 1 species